rnacentral:rRNA from 1 species
UACGGAGGGUGCAAGCGUUAUCCGGAUUCACUGGGUUUAAAGGGUGCGUAGGUGGGCAGGUAAGUCAGUGGUGAAAUCUCCGGGCUUAACCCGGAAACUGCCAUUGAUACUAUCUGUCUCGAAUAUCCUGGAGGUGAGCGGAAUAUGUCAUGUAGCGGUGAAAUGCUUAGAUAUGACAUAGAACACCCAUUGCGAAGGCAGCUCACUACGGGAUGAUUGACACUGAGGCACGAAAGCGUGGGGAUCAAACAGG